GCCCCCCUCAAGAUGAGAUUUCCCAAGUCAGUAAGACCCCUUGAAGACGACGAGGUAGAUAGGUUGGAGGUGGAAGCACGGCAACGUGUGGAGCUGACCAAUACUAAUCGGUCGAGGGCUUAUCCAAUAA
rnacentral:rRNA from 1 species